GAUGAACGCUGGCGGCGCGCCUAACACAUGCAAGUCGAACGAUUAAAGCACCUUCGGGUGUGUAUAAAGCGGCGAACGGCUGAGUAACACGUGGGCAACCUGCCCCUUUCAUUGGGAUAGCCACGGGAAACCGUGGAUAAUACCGAAUACUUCGAGACUUCCGCAUGGAAGACUCGAGAAGGCUCCGGCGGAGAGGGAUGGGCCCGCGGCCUGUUAGCUUGUUGGUGGGGUAACGGCCUACCAAGGCAAUGAUGGGUAGCUGGGUUGAGAGACCGACCAGCCAGAUUGGGACUGAGACACGGCCCAGACUCCUACGGGAGGCAGCAGUGGGGAAUCUUGCACAAUGGGCGAAAGCCUGAUGCAGCGACGCCGCGUGCGGGAUGAAGGCCUUCGGGUUGUAAACCGCUUUCAGCAGGGACGAGGCGAAAGUGACGGUACCUGCAGAAGAAGCCCCGGCUAACUACGUG
rnacentral:rRNA from 1 species